UAACCAUUGGAAAGAGAUUAAAAAAAUGAAAUAACCACAACCAAUGAACAAGCCAGCAGUGUUCUGGAAUAUCUACAACAUCAAUUUGCCUGCUUACCUUAGGUGUUGCCAUAAACCUUGCGUCAGAGAACUGCUACACUUGCACAGAAUACAAUAAGGAACAUACUUGUGUGUAUCAAGUUUCUGCACAUUACAAGACUCUUGUUGCACAUUCACUGAGGCCAUAUGUUGGAUCAGCCUUGCAACUCAGGCAUCAGAUAGAUGAAGAUUCUUGAAAACUCUUUGGUGAAAGUCCUGUUUUAUAAGAAAAUGUUCCAGGGUAAUUUCGGUCUGCAUAAAAGAAAAUCUGUCAACAACAUCUUGUUUGCCUGGAUUUCUUGUCCAUUCUAGUUUCCUCUAAAAGAUCAAUCUCCACACAAAGAUUAUCGACCAAAUAAACUUCAGCAGCUUCAAGGGAACCAUUAUGGACACAUCAUGUUUAUUUCAAUAAUGACCUGCGUUCCUUUCACAAUUAUUCUCAGAGAACCUGACAGAGUUACCAUGAAAGAUGAAGAUAAUCAUUCCAGUCCAAUAUUUUUAGGCAGCCUUUUAGUGCUCAUGUCAUUCAAGCCCUGAAAGUCAAUCAUGGAAAUUGGAUGGAGACAGCUCUUGAAAAGAGACAAGGUAAAAAAAGAAAAAGGAAGAACAGGAGACAGAAUGUAAGCCAGUGAAGAGGAUGCAUUGCUGUAACUCAGGAAGUCCUGGUUCUGCUCUGUGUUACCACUGAUGUCACUGAUGACUUUGAGGAAAGACAUUGACGCCCUGGAGCGUGUUCAGAGAAGGGCAAUGAAGAUGAUGAGGGGUCUGGCGCACAAGUCUUACGAGAGUGGAUGAGGUAACUGGGACUGUUUUGUCCGGAGAAGAGGAGGCUCAAGGAAGACCUUUUUGCUAUCUACAACUCCCUGACAGGAGGCUGUGGUGAGAGGGCAUUGGCCUCUUCUGCCAGGUAACAGUGAUAGGAUGACAGGGAAUGGCCUCAGGUUGCACCAGGGGAGUUUCAGGUUGGAUAUUAGUUACUUCUCUGAGAGAGCUAUUAGACAGUACAGCAAGUUGCUCAGAAAGGUGGCUUAGUCAUCGACCUGGGAGGUUACUUUAAUAUGAUAUGAUUCUAAUAAACAUAGAAGUGUUGUGGAAGUCCAGAAAAGAACUGUACCUCUUCCUGAAUCAGUACAUGGUUAUUUAAGGAUCAUCUUGCAUACCUAUAGUUCUGAAGUUGUGUCAUUUUUCAAUUCAUGACAGGCCAGAAAGAGAACACACAAAAUGGUAUGGUUGUUUAACCUGCUACUGAGGGCCUUCAAUUAGACAUGGCAAGUUCUCGACCCUUGCUUCAUCUUUUGGUACAUACUGUAAUAUGCUGCUGAUUUCAACUGCUAUUGUGAAAUUUAAAAAAUGCUAUACUUCAGAGUUGGUUAUAAAGCAUUUUUUCUGAUGUUCUAUAUUUAAAAAUAAAUGAGGGAAUAAAAUAUUUUUUUCAAAAACUGGGCAACAUACAAGCUUAGUGAAAACUCUGGCAGGUUAAAAGUAAAAUCCAUGCUGCACAUUAUAGUUGUAAACCAUGCUGAUGAAGACUCCUGAAUUAUAGUAUUUUC
ensembl:lncRNA